rnacentral:rRNA from 1 species
GAUGAACGCUGGCGGCGUGCCUAAUACAUGUAAGUCGAGCGAACAGACGAGGAGCUUGCUCCUCUGACGUUAGCGGCGGACGGGUGAGUAACACGUGGAUAACCUACCUAUAAGACUUGGAUAACUUCGGGAAACCGGAGCUAAUACCGGAUAAUAUAUUGAACCGCAUGGUUCAAUAGUGAAAGACGGUUUUGCUGUCACUUAUAGAUGGAUCCGCGCCGCAUUAGCUAGUUGGUAAGGUAACGGCUUACCAAGGCAACGAUGCGUAGCCGACCUGAGAGGGUGAUCGGCCACACUGGAACUGAGACACGGUCCAGACUCCUACGGGAGGCAGCAGUAGGGAAUCUUCCGCAAUGGGCGAAAGCCUGACGGAGCAACGCCGCGUGAGUGAUGAAGGUCUUCGGAUCGUAAAACUCUGUUAUUAGGGAAGAACAAAUGUGUAAGUAACUAUGCACGUCUUGACGGUACCUAAUCAGAAAGCCACGGCUAACUACGUG